AUUGAUUUACUGAAACUUUUAGUUUAUUAAAUUUUAUAUAUUACCAUAGUCUAUUUAUCGAGCACUUUCAUUAGUAAAAAAGAGAGGUUUCGACAAGUCACUCAAUCUAACCAUACCAAACGGUCCAUCCCCUUGGAUCUUCACGUCUUUUGGUACAUUAGCACCCACGUUAGUAUCGGGCGGUUAAAGACUCUCGAAAACUUCGGUUACUUGUCUUUUCUCCGGUUUGCUCUUUGUGAUCUUCAACGUGACCUCUCCUACAGAAGCAGCCGUGUUCUUGACGUUCUCCUUCAACCACUCUUCCUUGUCAACUCUGCAUCUGGCACUCAAAGCCACUGCAUAACCGUACCCGAAGGAUCUACCAUGCAUGAAUAUGCCAAUGAAGUUGAAGCCUCAAGCUGUUUCACUGUGAAGAGAAACGGCACGCGAUCCCAUCUUCUUCCUUGAAGAUCACGCUUCCAUCAGAACUAACCUGUUAAAUGAACAAUUCAAUCUGACCAGUCUGUUUCUUGCUGGAGAAGCAACACCACAAACUGAAACUUCUUUAAGUGACUGAAGACGAGUUCAAUUCGUAGAGUGUGUAAGUGAGGCAGGUCAUAAGCUUGGUGUUUUUAAAAUCCAGUGGGGUGUUCUUGCUGACGCUAUCUGCCUUGACGGUGAAGGAAGUAGCGCUUAAAGCAAAAAUUUAAUGCAGGUGUGUGGGUGUUUAGUGACAAUGUGACAAGUCUCAGAUGUCUGAGUUGACAGGAGGAGAUGGCUUAUUUUGGUUAAGAUAAGGUCGGAUACUAAAUGAUAGAGCAAUGAUGCUCUUAAUUUUUUUGGUAGGUGUGUGUGUGUUUAGUGACACUGUGACAAGUCUCAGAUGUCUGAGUUGACAGGAGGAGAUGGCUUAUUUUGGUUAAGAUAAGGUCGGACUAAGUUCGAAAUUAUUCACAGGACUAUUGAAGUAUUCAAUAUGGUUUGGUCGCGACAAAAUGAAGCAAGGUGUUGAAAUAUAGAUGCUGUUUCAAUCUGAAUAGCUGGCAAAAAAAAUGUUUUCACCGGAAGCUAUUUAAGUCUUGGUUAGUCAAGGUGUUCUGUUAAACUAAAUGUCCAAGCUUUUUCUUUGGAUCAAUUUCCUCAAUAAUCCGAAACUAUGUGUUUAUAAAUUUAGAUAAGUAUCGUAUCAAUUUUCCAACUUACAAAUAACAAUUUUCUAAUCAAGCUUUGAAAUAAAUCAAUCAUCCAUGAAUCUUUCAAUCGCUUAAUAGAUGCGCCACAAAUAAACCAAAUAAAUAAUCCUUUAGGCCAACUUUUACUGAAAAAUAUGCAAUUCGGUAGCAUUCAGUUCAGGAUGUACACAAAAUCAACCCACGUAUGAUGUUAUCGAAUCAUAAAUUCUGAUAAAUAAACAGAAAACUUCAAGAAGAAAAGAAGAUAGGGCACUCAGAAUGAGUAGGAGGUAUUGAUUCGUCAUGAAUCGGAUGACAAUAACAAUCCUCAUCAUGCCCUUUCCUUUUAUUCUUAAACAAAUUAAAAACUUUAAAACCGUUUUUAACGGAAAAUAAAAAUUGAAUUGAAAACGGAUUCCUCUCAGACAAAUGCCUCGUUUGUCCCCAUGAUUUAAAGAAUGGAUUAAUCGGACUCGUCAUCUAUGUUUUGUUCAUCACUGAGAAACCUCUUUCCCUCGUUUGCAAAUCAAUCACAAAAGACUAUAUCAAAUCGAAAAUCAAAACCAUUAACAAAACGAUAUAAAUUGGAGUUAUACCAAACAAAAAAAAAUAGAAAAGGGAUUCCUCUCAGACAAAUGCCUCGUUUGUCCCCACGAUUUAAAGAAUGGAUUGAUCGGACUCGUCAUCUAUGUUUUGUUCAUCACUGAGAAACCCCUUUUCCCUCGUUCCACAAGAGAAUCAAACCAAAUCGAAACGAAAAAGCGAUUAAC